UGCUCCUGAUUUUCUUCUCUGUGUUCUUGCUCUCUCAGCCAAUCGACUGUCUCUCUCCAUCUCCUUGCAGCUCUUCGCGAUAUUGUGCUUGUAUUUGGCGCCAUACAAUCUUCGUUUUCGGAUGACAAGUAUACUAUAAGCAGCCUGUAUGCUACACAAGGAGCACCGCAUAUUGAUGUAUCAGAUAAUGAUACAAUGAUCACCUCAUCAGAAUUCAAAACAUUUCUGACAGGUAAAUGAUUAGUUACAACAUUCCUUUCCGCUCACCAUGCAUUGAUCAAGUUGAGCAUGUAAUUCAAUGUGAGCUAAAGAGAAAUAUUGAUUGAGAUGGAGAUCUGUAUGUUUAGUGAAACAGUAAAGUGUUGAAAUUGCAAUUUUCCUUUUUAAAUUAUAUUUGAAAUAUAUUUAUAUUUGAAGUAUUUGUUCCACCACAGCUUAUAUAAAUGAAAACCUUGCGAGAGAGACCUCCGCUUUAUUCUAU